CAUAUGCUUGUCUUAAAGAUUAAGCCAUGCAUGUCCAAGUAUAAGCCCUCAUAGGGUGAAACUGCGGAUGGCUCAUUAAAUCGGUUGGAAUCUACACGAGAGUGUACAAUUAAACGGAUAACCGCGGAAAAUCUGCGGCUAAUACGUGCAUAAAAAUGGGCUCCUGGCCCAUUGCAUUUAUCAGAUUGAGAGAAUGGAGGGUAACUUCCAACUUGAAUGAUGAUAAAUAUCUCGCGGAUCGCACGAGCAUGACUCGGCGACAAUUCGUUCGACUUUCCGCCCUAUCAACUUUGGAUGGUAGUGUAGUGGACUACCAUGGUGGUUACGGGUGACGGAGAAUUAGGGUUCGAUUCCGGAGAGGGAGCCUGAGAGAUGGCUACCACUUCCAAGGAAGGCAGCAGGCGCGAAAAUUGCCAAACCUACAAAGUAGGAGGCAGUGACAAUAAAUAUCGGAGGGUCAAAUGAUCCGACUGGAAUGAGAUGGAUGUAAAUAAAUCUACGAGAAACAAUUGGAGGACAAGUCUGGUGCCAGCACCCGCGGUAAUUCCAGCUCCAAGAGCGUAUAUUCAAUUUGCUGCAGUUAAAAAGCUCGUAGUUGGGUGAGGGGAGUGAGUUAGGGGAGGUUGUGGGGAAACCUAGAACUGAACUUAUCAUUCUCAUUAUGGAGGGAUCGUUGCAGAGUGUUCUUAACUGAAUGCUUUGUAUACACCCUCCCGUUGACCGUGCUUAAAUUCGCGUGUUCAAAGCAAGCAUUUCUUUUGCUUGUAGAGUCUAGCAUGGGAUCAUUUAAUAUGGAAAGAGAAACCAUCUCAAUUUUCUCUUUCAAUGACAAAUAGGGGCAAACGGGGGUGGAGGGAUUCCGUUGUUAGAGGUGAAAUUCUUAGACCAACGGAGGACCAACAGAAGCCAAAGCGUCCAUCAAGGGUGUGCCCAUUGAUCAAGAACGAAAGUUAGGGGAUCAAAUACGAUCAGACACCGUAGUAGUCCUAACCUUAAACGAUACCGACCGGGGAUGGGAUGAGACAAAAAAUCAUAUCCAUUCUGUACCCUGAGAGAAAUCAAGAGUGUUUGGGUUCCGGGGGGAGUACGGUCGCAAGGCUGAAACUUAAAGGAAUUGACGGAAAGGCAAACAAGAAGUGGAACCUGCGGCUUCCAAUUCGACUCAACACGGGAAAACUUACCAGGUCCAGACAUGGGAAGGAUGGACAGAUUGAUAGAUCUUUCUUGAUUCUAUGAGUGGUGGUGCAUGGCCGUUCUUAGUUGGUGGAGUGAUUUGUCUGGUUGAUUCCGAUAACGAACGAGAUCACGAGAGAUUUGUUGAGGGGGGAUGGAGGGAUGAAAGAGGGCGAAAGGUGGGAAGAAAUGCUUUCGGGUAUUUCGGCUCAUUCGGAUCCUUUGUUCCUUUGUCCACUCACCAACUCCGACUGGAGUGUUUCAACACUCAGGAAGGUCGUGGCAAUAACAGGUCUGUGAUGCCCUUAGAUGUUCUGGGCUGCACGCGCGUUACACUGACAGAGACAAAGAGUUAUUUAAGCUUGGCUGAAAGGCCUGGCUAAUCUAAUCGAGACUCUGUCGUGAUGGGGAUAGAUGGUUGUAAUUAUGCAUCUUGAACGAGGAAUUCCUAGUAAACGUAGUUUAUCAAACUGCGUUGAUUUCGUCCCUGCCCUUUGUACACACCGCCCGUCGCUCCUACCGAUUGAAUGAAAAGGUGAAAAGAAGGGAGAGAUGGUGUCUCGUACACUAUUUCAAACAUCGUUGAACCAUUUCAUUUAGAGGAAGGAGAAGUCGUAACAAGGUUUUCGUA
rnacentral:rRNA from 1 species